rnacentral:rRNA from 1 species
UACGUAGGGGGCAAGCGUUGUCCGGAAUCAUUGGGCGUAAAGCGCGUGUAGGCGGUUAUCUAAGUCUGUUGUGAAAGUCGGAGGCUCAACCUUCGAAAGCCGAUGGAUACUGGAUGACUAGAGUACGGAAGAGGAGAGUGGAAUUCCUGGUGUAGCGGUGAAAUGCGCAGAUAUCAGGAGGAACACCAACGGCGAAGGCAGCUCUCUGGGACGUUACUGACGCUGAGACGCGAAAGCGUGGGGAGCGAACAGG